GGACCAAACAGUAUGGCUGAGACUUAAGCGUUGCAACAUUCAAAGCUGACCGUUAGCAGAUACCCACAGUGCACGCGGCAGCUCUGGAGGGCUCUGGGGGCAGCAGGGGGCUCCCCCCUCAACCACACCUCCUGUAUUAUAAGGACUCAGGUCCUCCUUCAGACACCUUGUUUCUAUCGAAACUGACCUUGAUUGCGGGCUCUUGACAUUUGGAAUCUUUAAAACCAUGAGGAAAAACCAACACGGGUGUGAGAAAUACCCUUUAAAACCGGUAAAUUAACUUACUUCAUCAUUUAUUCAUUUUGGUUUAAUCUGCUGAGACGGAGAGGCAGUCUCCAGAAGGAAACAAUCUGCGGUGGAGAGGAACGAGCUCAAGCUCUGGGUACAGCGCUCUGUGGCCUUUGAACAUCGACAAA
rnacentral:lncRNA from 1 species